AGAGUUCCCUUCUGGCUCAGGAUGAACGCUGGCGGCGUGCUUAACACAUGCAAGUCGAACGAAGCACUUAAGACGGAUUACUUCGGUUUGAAGUCUUAUUUGACUGAGUGGCGGACGGGUGAGUAACGCGUGGGUAACCUGCCUCAUACAGGGGGAUAACAGUUAGAAAUGACUGCUAAUACCGCAUAAGCGCACGGUCUCGCAUGGGACAGUGUGAAAAACUCCGGUGGUAUGAGAUGGACCCGCGUCUGAUUAGCUGGUUGGUGAGGUAAGGGCUCACCAAGGCGACGAUCAGUAGCCGGCCUGAGAGGGUGAACGGCCACAUUGGGACUGAGACACGGCCCAAACUCCUACGGGAGGCAGCAGUGGGGAAUAUUGCACAAUGGGGGAAACCCUGAUGCAGCGACGCCGCGUGAAGGAAGAAGUAUUUCGGUAUGUAAACUUCUAUGAGCAGGGAAGAAAAUGACGGUACCUGACUAAGAAGCCCCGGCUAACUACGUGCCAGCAGCCGCGGUAAUACGUAGGGGGCAAGCGUUAUCCGGAAUUACUGGGUGUAAAGGGAGCGUAGACGGUGAUGCAAGUCUGGAGUGAAAGGCGGGGGCCCAACCCCCGGACUGCUCUGGAAACUGUGUAACUUGAGUGCAGGAGAGGUAAGCGGAAUUCCUAGUGUAGCGGUGAAAUGAGUAGAUAUUAGGAGGAACACCAGUGGCGAAGGCGGCUUACUGGACUGUAACUGACGUUGAGGCUCGAAAGCGUGGGGAGCAAACAGGAUUAGAUACCCUGGUAGUCCACGCCGUAAACGAUG
rnacentral:rRNA from 1 species